UACGUAGGGCGCAGGCGUUGUCCGGAAUUAUUGGGCGUAAAGAGCUCGUAGGCGGCUUGUCACGUCGGGUGUGAAAGCCCGGGGCUUAACCCCGGGUCUGCAUUCGAUACGGUCUGGCUGGAGUGUGGUAGGGGAGAUCGGAAUUCCUGGUGUAGCGGUGAAAUGCGCAGAUAUCAGGAGGAACACCGGUGGCGAAGGCGGGUCUCUGGGCCGAUACUGACGCUGAGGAGCGAAAGCGUGGGGAGCGAACAGG
rnacentral:rRNA from 1 species